GUAGCAAUACUGAGUGGCAGACGGGUGAGUAACAUGUGGGAAUCUGCCUUGUGGUUCAGGACAACAUUGGGAAACCGAUGCUAAUACUGGAUAAGCCCUUACGGGGAAAGUUUUAAUGCCAUAAGAUGAGCCCGCAUUUGAUUAGUUAGUUGGUGAGGUAAUGGCUCACCAAGACAAUGAUCAAUAGCUGAUCUGAGAGGAUGAUCAGCCACACUGGGACUGAGACACGGCCCAGACUCCUACGGGAGGCAGCAGUGGGGAAUCUUGCACAAUGGAGGAAACUCUGAUGCAGCGAUGCCGCGUGAGUGAAGAAGGCCUUUGGGUUGUAAAGCUCUUUUGUAGGGGAAGAUAAUGACUGUACCCUAAGAAUAAGGUCCGGCUAACUUCGUGCCAGCAGCCGCGGUAAUACGAAGGGACCUAGCGUAGUUCGGAAUUACUGGGCGUAAAGCGCGCGUAGGCCGUUGAGUUAGUUAAUUGUGAAAUCCCAAAGCUUAACUUUGGAACUGCAAUUAAAACUGCUCGACUAGAGUUUGAUAGAGGAAAGCGGAAUACAUAGUGUAGAGGUGAAAUUCGUAGAUAUUAUGUAGAACACCAGUUGCGAAGGCGGCUUUCUGGAUCAACACUGACGCUG
rnacentral:rRNA from 1 species